AUUAUACCGUGAAACUGCGAAUGGCUCAUUAAAUCAGUUAUCGUUUAUUUGAUAGUACCUUACUACUUGGAUAACCGUGGUAAUUCUAGAGCUAAUACAUGCUGAAAACCCCGACUUCGGAAGGGGUGUAUUUAUUAGAUAAAAAACCAAUGCCCUUCGGGGCUCCUUGGUGAUUCAUAAUAACUUCUCAGAUCGCAUGGCCUUGCGCCGGCGACGGUUCAUUCAAAUUUCUGCCCUAUCAACUUUCGAUGGUAAGGUAUUGGCUUACCAUGGUUUCAACGGGUAACGGGGAAUUAGGGUUCGAUUCCGGAGAGGGAGCCUGAGAAACGGCUACCACAUCCAAGGAAGGCAGCAGGCGCGCAAAUUACCCAAUCCCGACACGGGGAGGUAGUGACAAUAAAUACUGAUACAGGGCUCUUUUGGGUCUUGUAAUUGGAAUGAGUACAAUUUAAACCUCUUAACGAGGAACAAUUGGAGGGCAAGUCUGGUGCCAGCAGCCGCGGUAAUUCCAGCUCCAAUAGCGUAUAUUAAAGUUGUUGCAGUUAAAAAGCUCGUAGUUGAACCUUUGGCCUGGCUGGCAGGUCCGCCUCACCGCGUGCACUUGUCCGGCCGGGCCUUCUCUUCUGGAGAACCGCAUGCCCUUCACUGGGUGUGUUGGGGACCAGGACUUUUACUUUGAAAAAAUUAGAGUGUUCAAAGCAGGCCUUUGCUCGAAUACGUUAGCAUGGAAUAAUAGAAUAGGACGUGCGGUCCUAUUUUGUUGGUUUCUAGGACCGCCGUAAUGAUUAAUAGGGACAGUCGGGGGCAUCAGUAUUCAAUUGUCAGAGGUGAAAUUCUUGGAUUUAUUGAAGACUAACUACUGCGAAAGCAUUUGCCAAGGAUGUUUUCAUUAAUCAGUGAACGAAAGUUAGGGGAUCGAAGACGAUCAGAUACCGUCGUAGUCUUAACCAUAAACUAUGCCGACUAGGGAUCGGGCGGUGUUAUUAUUUUGACUCGCUCGGCACCUUACGAGAAAUCAAAGUGUU
rnacentral:rRNA from 1 species